ensembl:antisense Gm2479 predicted gene 2479
CGGCCGCGACCGGAGCCUGCGCGCCGACCGGCGUCCGGUCCCAAGCCGGCACCUCCGCGAGCUCCACGAUUGGCCGGCGACCCGAGAUUCAGCUGGGACCAUGAGGAGCAGCAAAGCCAUCAAUAGAGGUACUUCAGCAGGCGGAAACUCUGAGGCUCCGGUAAGAAAGAAGAAGCCGCUUGCUAAGAAACGAAACUGGCACUGGUACGGGUGGCCAACAAGGGUUAGACUCCAGGCUUCAGAUUCCACGUCAGCUUCAAACAACCCUGUGGCUCCCUCAAGUCGUCCGAAGAUCACGUUGGAUUCACCCGGAGAGUCUCCCCAUUUCAAGAUCUUUGAUUUAAAUCACCUCUGUAAAGCCUUUCCUAUCUGGAUCUGAAGGCAUCAUCACUUAGCUUACUAUAUUUUGGAAGGCCCUUCCGUGGUUAUACUCAGCUCCUCACCUGGGGAAGCUUUAUCUGAUCGACUCCUGCCUCCUCCCUUAUGACUGGGAGCCAUGCCUCAUCUGCCACAAGACAUAACAAGAAUAUGACAUCAACGAACCAGAGAACAAGUUCUCAUCAGACACUGAAUCUGAUGGCUCUGUCUGUCUGUUAGAGAUGCAGAGCCUCGGGAAGCCCAGGCUGGCUUCAAGCUCCAUACACAGCUGAGGAUAACCUUGGGUUUCUGGUCUUGUCUCCACCGGAGUGCUGGGAUUGCUGACAUAUGCCAACACACCUGGUCUGUGCCGAGCUUUCAUGGGAGAAACUGGACCAAUUGAGCCAUCGGCAAUUCUGCCUUUUGUGUUGAAUCUCGAGGUUCUAAAAGAGAAUUAGAUUUGCUUUGCUAAGCCUUGUAGUCUUGUGGUAGUUUGCCGCAGCAGAAAAACGGGCUAAGCAGGCUGCUGCUUGCCUUUUAGACCAAGGCUCUGAAAGUCAUUUUCGGUUUUGAGUGUAUCUGUUUUCUCCUAGCUCAUGAGCCCACCCCUAUCCUCCUCAUCCUCUGUCUGUCUGUCUGUCUGUCUGAAGCCUGACCUAUUGGGCUAGCCUCAAACUCACAGAGGCCUCUGAUUA